rnacentral:rRNA from 1 species
UGCCAGCCGCCGCGGUAAGACGAACCGGCCAAACGUUAUUCGGAAUCACUGGGCUUAAAGGGUGCGUAGGCGGUGCGGUAAGUUGGGUGUGAAAUCCCUCGGCUCAACCGAGGAACUGCGCCCAAUACUGCCGUGCUUGAGGGAGACAGAGGCGAGCGGAACUGAUGGUGGAGCGGUGAAAUGCGUUGAUAUCAUCAGGAACACCAGUGGCGAAGGCGACCAUCUGGGACGGAACUGACGCUGAUGAACGAAAGCUAGGGUAUCAAACAGGAUUAGAUA